rnacentral:rRNA from 1 species
AUACGGAGGGUGCGAGCGUUGUUCGGAAUUACUGGGCGUAAAGAGCGCGUAGGCGGUCGAGUAAGUCGAAUGUGAAAUCCCCGGGCUCAACCCGGGAACUGCAUCCGAAACUGCCCGACUAGAGUCCCGGAGAGGAAGGCAGAAUUCCCAGUGUAGGGGUGAAAUCCGUAGAUAUUGGGAGGAAUACCAGUGGCGAAGGCGGCCUUCUGGACGGUGACUGACGCUGAGGCGCGAAAGCGUGGGGAGCAAACAGGAUUAGAAACCCCUGUAGUCC